rnacentral:lncRNA from 1 species
GUGUGAUGAGAUUCCUUGAUAAGGGUUAUCGGUCAUUGGAACAUUAAUCCACCUCAGUAGUUACUCUACUAAGACAGGAAUUUCACAAGUUACAAAGCUGAUGUAUAUGAGUCUCUCUCUUUCUAAUGGGAUUAACCAAAUGGUUCUUUGCUGCCUAAGCAAGGUGUGAUUUUUUUAAAUAUAUUCAUACCAUGGAAGUCUCACUCAGAAAGGUUGUAUAGCUGAUGAAUUCUACACAUCAAAUGUGUUUAACAUUUCUAAUGUGAAAUUUCCAUAUUCAGAUGGCUCUAGAGAAAUAGAUACCUAACUAGGCUGCAAAGAACUGUGUGGUGGAUCCCGAGAGAGAGAGAGAGAGAGAGAGAGAGAGANGAGGAAGUNNNNNNNNNNNNNNNNNNNNGACGACGAGAGAGAGAGAGAGAGAGAGAGAGAGGAAUCAGGAGGAAAUUGAAAGUUGGACAUAAUUGCACUUGGGAAGUUUUGGCUUAAUUACAUCGGGGAGAACUUUAUAGGAGGUUGUAGAUCCAUGAAGAGUGUUUUUUUUUUUGGUGGUGUGGUGCAGUGGAUCACCGUGAAUUAAAUGGUAGGAGAUAAUGAUGGGUUGUUUUGAGCAGGUUUAGUAAGUGGCUGUCCUAGUGAGAACGAUUAGGAAAGGAGGAACCAUUGCAGAGACUACUGGCCAUGAGUGGGGUCCAAGUAUUUUGAGAACAAAAACUGAUAAAUGGAUUUUUUUAUAGAAUAUUCUUAGGAUUCAAAGCUAUCUCUUUUUAACACAUUCACAUACAUAAGUUGCAUGUGUGAAUGCAUAAGUGAUUUUUCUUAGAGGAAAAAUAGGUGAAAAGAGAAAUACAUCAAUCAAAGAAGUAAAAUACUUUAGUUUGUAUUCCUAUAUCUGAAGCAAUAAACUCAUCAGGAGUUGAAACAAGAAAGUUGUGGAAUUUCUAUGAAACUUCAUUUAUCAUAAUUUUUUAUUUAAACUAAUGAAAAUAUCAAAUAAACUCAAGAAGAUUCUAGAAGGCACCUAUAUUCGACUGCAUUUAAAUUUAAUCUAAAUUCACUCACUUUAACUGUGCAAAUCUUGUCCAAGCAUCACCUUGAACCUAAGUUUCAGUGAUGCCUGCAUGUCAUCACAAUUUGCCCCUCCCAUAACUGUUAAAACCAUUAUUAGUGGGCUAGCCUGUAAAGAACUUUUUUGAAUAAAAUAAUCACUGCUAUAAUGGCUAUAAUUGAUGAAGUAAUGGACAAAAAAUGAUAAGAUAACAGAGUUAGUUUGUUAUUGCUGCUCACAUACUAAAAUAUAUAAAAUACAUUUUUUCAAUUGACAUGG